UACGUAGGAGACAAGCGUUGUCCGGAAUUACUGGGUGUAAAGCGCGUGUAGGCGGGAGGCCAAGUCUGUGGUGAAAUCGCCUGGCUUAACUGGGCGGGGUCCAUGGAAACUGGUCACCUGGAGGUCGGUAGAGGCAAGUGGAAUUCCCGGUGUAGUGGUGAAAUGCGUAGAGAUGUGGAGGAAUACCGAUGGCGAAGGCAGCCCCCUGGGAUAACACUGACGCUCAUGCACGAAAGCGUGGGGAGCAAACAGG
rnacentral:rRNA from 1 species